GGAUUUCGCCUCCCUAGACCAGGAGGGAUUGGACCCUGACUACAGGUCCAGGUGCUCGUCAGUGCCCUGCCAGGGGGUCUACGCGUCCUGGUACCGGGUCCAGCGGGGUGGCGUGCUGUGCAGACCCCGAGGCUAGACGGCCUAGGCCCCUGGAGCCCAGGAGACGCUUCCUUGGGGGGAACUUGCGGCUUGGGAGGGGACACCCACUGCAUGGCUUCUGGAAAGAGCCGGACUCGCAGGGCCAGGACGCAGGCCGGACCCCGGCCUCAUUCUUCGGCCAGUUAUCCCGGAGUGGCGCGCAUCCUGUCUUCCUGGGCCUCGGACUGCUCGCGCGCAGAGGGGGCCCGAGGACACCUCUGUGGGGUUAGAGGACUCGGUAAGACGGUGUGGAAGGCAAGGAGGAAGGUCGCGUUGUAUUGGGGAUGGGGUACCCGUCCCUCCCAGCUUGAGGGAUCCUGGGGGUCCUCGCCGCCUCUGAGGGCCUAGAUGGCUGCUUCCCUCGGCUCCCCUGCCCGGCCUGGAGCUACGGGUGCGCCCAGCUAGAGUUUAGGGCCACCUGGGGACGUGCAAGGGGCGCUGGAGCGAGGCGGGGGCUGGGGCGGGGCGUGGGUGCUUCACCCGCGGGGGACGCAGAGCUUAGGCGAAAGCGGUGCAGGCAUCUCUCUAAUCGCCGGCCGCUAUUAAAAAUAAAACCGCGACCCGUCGCCAUGGCGACCACAACAACAGCGGCCGCGCGAGGGAGGCGAAAACUUGUGCAGCCGCGCGACAGCCGCCUUCUGGGGAGACUCGGGGCACGACGCACCCGGCGUGGGACUGGGACCCCCCUGCCCGGCCCCGCCACAUUCUCCGCCGGAUCCCCGGAAGACACAAGGAGACGUGGACCCCCACAGGCUUUUUUGGGGGGAUUGGGCGUUGAAACCGCAGGGCUGACUUAACCAAGAGGUCACCGACUUGGAUAAAAAACCCACGCCCGCGCGGACCCCCCUCCCCGGCCUUCGUUUCCAUUCAAACUCCCAGCGUCCUCAUUGCAGCCCCUGGGGAGGGGGACGGAGGGACGAGGUGGGUUUCAGGUGCUCGGCCCAGGAGGGGACGGUGCGACCCGGGCCCCGCCGGCGGGUUUUGCGCGCGGAGGCUGCGGCACCUGCCCCGCCCGCCCUGCCGCGAUCCUUGCAGACGGGGGCGGUCACAUGCUUCUUUCUGGCCAGGAAUCGAGUUUCACUUCCAGCCGCUAUUAGUCGGUUCACACAGUUCACUGCAAACAUUUGAUAAUGAGGCUAAAUAUACUCCCGCGUCGGAGGAGGCGUGGGCGUCCCCGCCCAGGCCCGGGAGACAGAGGCGCUGACCCCGGGACAGAGCCUGGCUUUGUGCGGGAGGCAGACGCGCCCCGCGCGCCGCCCCCGAAACAUUCGCACCCCAUGCUGAGGCGCGCGUCUGGGAGUCCGUGGGCGCCCCGAGCGACGUCGAUGGCGCCAGGUGCCAAGCUCUUUCCUUGUAUAAUUUCAUGGACACUCACGCAUCAACUCUAAGCGAAGACUUGGAGCGGGGCUCAGCACCCCAGGGGUACCUCUGCAACCUCGAAAUGAAGUUGAAAAUAGCACAGGAGCCCACUAUCACUGUGUGAACAUUUUGUGAAUGAAGACAUGUAUGAAAGGAUGUUUGGAGGCUUCAAGAAACGAAAGCCGAGAGUCUAGCUAGACCAGAGCCAUCCAGCCCAGGAGCGAUGGCCACGUGUGGCCGCUGGACACGAGAGACGUGGCCAGUCCAAACUGUGCAGUGCGGUAAGGGCAGAACACAUGCCAGCUUUCGAAGGCUUAGUAAAGAAUGCAAAAUUUCUCAAUUGGGAAUUUUUGUAUGAAUUUCAGGUUGAAAAAAACAUUUUGGAUAUAUGGUGUUAAAUAAACAUGAUUACAAUGACUUUCGCUGUCAGCCUCCCGGAGGCUCAUUUUGCUCCUCUGGGCCACAGCCAGCUCAGAGGGUUGCUCUAGGAAAUAUCUACACGUUCUUGAAGCACAGGUUUAUGUGCCAGGCACUGUACUAAGUGCUGGGGACACGGCGUUAAGACCAGGCCCUCACGGAGCCCUCACUCUCUGAGGAGGAACAAUAAGUCAGAGAGCGCGCGAGUGCAGCCCUUCAGGCAAAGGAUUUCAGGCCCAGGUCAGGAAGGCCUUGUCUGAGGAGUCUGAGAAGAAGUCAAUUGACAACAGCUAGAACAUCUAGGUCAGGCACUCCAGGCCGACACGACAAAGCAGGUGCAAAGGCCCCAGGGCGGGAACCAGCGUGGCUUGUUCACAGAACAAGGAGGUAGAUCGCUUGCCCUUGGGACCAAAGGAAGGCUCUGGAUUUUAUUCUAGGGGCAGUGGAAGCCGUUGGAGGGCCUCAGGCAGGAACACAAGGUGUCGUGGCAGAAAGGAAGAAGGGGCCGGGCACGGUGGCCCACACCCGUCAUCCCAGCACUUUGGGAGGGAGGCCAAGGCAGGAGGAUCGCUUCAAUCCAGGAGUUCAAGAUCAGCCUGGGCAACACAGCAAGACCCCGUCUCUACUAAAACCCUAAAACUUAGCCAGGCUUGGUGGCAUGUGCCUAAGGUCCCAGGUCCUCGGGAGACUAAGGCAGGAGGAUUGCUUAAGCCCAAGAGUUUGAGGCUGCAGUGAACUAUUAUCACACCACUGCACUCAGCCUGGGUGACAGAGUGACUCUGUCUCAAAACUAAAUAAAUAAACAAUAAUUGUGUUAUUCUGUCUCCAUUUCUCGCAUACUGAAUUUAAGGUGGACUCAGCCAGCGGGUUCAGGCCCAGGGUCUGUCCUGCAGCUACAGUCAGGGUUGGUGGCUGCAGCUGUCAUGGGGGAGCGGUGAGGUUGGGGGAACAGGGGGGCUGGCCUGCAUCCCCCACUUUCAGGUGGGCUCAACUCCGUCUCGUGGCCUAUUGGGGGCCAGCAUGGGCUUCCUUACAGCAUGGAGGCCUCCAGGGUCAAGCUGCCUCUGGGAUGGCAGAGGGCUUUGUGUUCGUGCUCCCACGCCCACAGUGGAGGCAAUACACCCUUUCCAGAUCUAGCAGUACAGGUGCGCAGCACCACACCUCUGUACGCUCUCAGCCUAAGCUGUCCCCAGCCCUCCUGGCCUCUGGAGGAGGGGACGCAGAAACUCCAUCCCGGACAGAGGGAGAGCCAGUGUGUGCACAGGCAGCUUCUAACACUGCUUCGUGGUUUCACACGGCUCCCUCAUGGAGAAGGGGCUGGAGGAGGACAGGGAGGUGUGCAGUCAUCUGGGUGACAUAUGAGGGUGGCUGGGCUUCCAGAUGGCUGCAGUGGAGACCGUAAGAAGAGUGCACGAGGUAAGGCUUCCGAAACGCCCAGCAGGUUCCUGGCAGCUGCAGACAACUCAAUUCUUAGCACUUGCCAAUAGCUGGGGUGUAAACACUCCCGCCGUCGCUAUUUCGGGCUAUGCUCCUUGCCUCCACUGGGUCUGGCUCUUAAAACAGCAAGAAAGCAACUCGGAAGCUGAGUCAGCCCCGUCUCUCCACCGUGCCCACAGAUCCUUCCCUGUUCCAGAGCUCCCGUUGGCAGCCAGCUGGGCUUCUCAGGGGGCAUCUCCAGUCCUGUGCAGUCAGAGAAAACCAGGGAAGCAUCUUGAUCUCACCUAGAAAUUAAGGCCAUCACAUCCAACACCUGCAUUUUACAGGUGAGGAGGCUGACAUUACAAGUAGUGGUGGUGGUGACAUUUGAACCCAGACCCCUGUCCUCCGGGGCCUGUUUCCCUGGGAGCUGCGGACUCUGCGUGGAGACACAGAAAUAGAGACCCAGAUGGCUCCCGUAGAAACAGAGUCACCCCCCAGGGCAGCUGGAAGGGAGUGGGAGAGGACAGGUCCUCAAGGGCCUCUGCUCUCCACUUCCCUCCCCGCCUCGCCGUGUCCUCUCCCUUCCUCUCUCCAACCCCUGCAGGGGGAGGCCUGGCUGGGAAGAGACGUUUUCUGAGUAGAUGUUUUGGCUGGGCAGACUGAGCUUUGAGAAGCAGCCAGGCCGAGCGGGGCUAGGGAGUGAGGGCAUUGGGGAGCCUGAACUUUAGUGACCACUGCCCCUCCCAGGCCAAAGCCGCAAACCCCUCCCAUCCCCAAGGGCUUCAGACUCAAGGCCCAAGUUCCUGCA
rnacentral:lncRNA from 1 species